CCUAAUACAUGCAAGUCGAGCGAACAGACGAGGAGCUUGCUCCUCUGACGUUAGCGGCGGACGGGUGAGCAACACGUGGAUAACCUACCUAUAAGACUGGGAUAACUUCGGGAAACCGGAGCUAAUACCGGAUAAUAUAUUGAACCGCAUGGUUCAAUAGUGAAAGACGGUUUUGCUGUCACUUAUAGAUGGAUCCGCGCCGCAUUAGCUAGUUGGUAAGGUAACGGCUUACCAAGGCAACGAUGCGUAGCCGACCUGAGAGGGUGAUCGGCCACACUGGAACUGAGACACGGUCCAGACUCCUACGGGAGGCAGCAGUAGGGAAUCUUCCGCAAUGGGCGAAAGCCUGGCGGAGCAACGCCGCGUGAGUGAUGAAGGUCUUCGGAUCGUAAAACUCUGUUAUUAGGGAAGAACAAAUGUGUAAGUAACUAUGCACGUCUUGACGGUACCUAAUCAGAAAGCCACGGCUAACUACGUGCCAGCAGCCGCGGUAAUACGUAGGUGGCAAGCGUUAUCCGGAAUUAUUGGGCGUAAAGCGCGCGUAGGCGGUUUUUUAAGUCUGAUGUGAAAGCCCACGGCUCAACCGUGGAGGGUCAUUGGAAACUGGAAAACUUGAGUGCAGAAGAGGAAAGUGGAAUUCCAUGUGUAGCGGUGAAAUGCGCAGAGAUAUGGAGGAACACCAGUGGCGAAGGCGACUUUCUGGUCUGUAACUGACGCUGAUGUGCGAAAGCGUGGGGAUCAAACAGGAUUAGAUACCCUGGUAGUCCACGCCGUAAACGAUGAGUGCUAAGUGUUAGGGGGUUUCCGCCCCUUAGUGCUGCAGCUAACGCAUUAAGCACUCCGCCUGGGGAGUACGACCGCAAGGUUGAAACUCAGAGGAAUUGACGGGGACCCGCACAAGCGGUGGAGCAUGUGGUUUAAUUCGAAGCAACGCGAAGAGCCUUACCAAAUCUUGACAUCCUCUGACCCCU
rnacentral:rRNA from 1 species